rnacentral:tRNA from 1 species
GGGCCAUAGCUCAGCUGGGAGAGCGCCUGCUUUGCACGCAGGAGGUCAGGAGUUCGAUCCUCCUUGGCUCACCA